CAAUGAACCCAACGGGGAGCCUGGUUGCCUUGGCAACGUAACAAACUUUCCGUGUGAAUCUGAACCUCUGAGCUUGCUAAUAAGAAAUGGUGUUUCUUUUCUGGCCUGGCUGUGAGCAAAGUGGACGGGCACCAGACAUUGAUCAAAUGGGAAGGAAGUCACUCACAUAGGAGUGACCCCUGGAAUGCGAAAGAAGAGGUGACAGCAGGGUACUCAAUGAGAGGAGUUGCCUGCAAGUCUUAGAAUGAGAAUGAACCUGGCAGAAGUGAUGGGUCUCUUCAUCAGAAGAGCAGGUCUGAGAUGUCUUCCUCUGCUGAACGGAAGUUCCUCCCACUAAAGAGCCAAUGCCCGAAGGCCCUGUCAGCCUGGUCCUCUCUGAAGACAUUGCCUCACAGAAGAUGUGAUAGCUCAAAGCGAAGCCAUUUGGAGUCUGUUCAACACUUGUGAAUCUCAGCAGCUCCAUCCUGGAGAGAGCCCAUAGAUCAGGGGGUGAAACAGCAAUGACUUUGGAAGAAUCCGUGUUGCUGAAGCCCAGAAACAGACAGUCCCUUGUGGGACUACACUAAAGAGAAAAUACUGGACAUGGGUCACAGGGAUUCAGGUACUGGAAAUUCUGUACUAUGUUGUGCCAUGCAAACUUGAGAGGUAGCUAGCUUCCGGUGACCCCGGAAAUAGAGGAACCCCUGACUAGCUCUGGUUGGGAGGCUAGGCAUAUGCAAGACACCCAACUCCCAGCUUUCCGGUGGAGUCUGCGUUGGUGUGUGCGCCCCAUUUACCUGCCUACCACAGCUGCACCCGUCAUUCCCAUCUCUUGGCACUGUACCAUUGCCUUCAGAAUCAUACUGAAUUUUCAGGAAAUGGAAUUCUAAAGAGCCUAUGGCUGUUUACAACAGACAAUUCAGAAGAAGAAAGUCUUCAAGGCACUGGCGUUCUGGAACAUAAGGAAAGUUCUUGUUCAUCAAUUUUACAGGCCAUUCUCCAUUUCCUUCUGGUAGAGACCCUCAGUCCUGCCCACAUCCCUCCGCUGUUACCCUGUUUUUACUAUUUCCCUUGGUAAAAUUUUAUAUGGGGUAGGGAAAUGAUAUGUGAUUCAGUUUGAUGUAAACUUGCUCCAAAAUGUCUGUGUUUUAGUGGCUAUUAGAGAUUCAUAGAUAGAUAAAUAAUACUAUAAAUAAACAAAAUUAAAUCAUCCCUCCUCUCAGACUGUUUAAGAAUAAGACCAAAAAUAAAUAAAUGCAGACAUGAUGGCCCAAGCCUAUAAUCCCAGCACUCA
rnacentral:lncRNA from 1 species